rnacentral:rRNA from 1 species
CUUAGCCUCAGUUCAGAUUGCAGGCUGAAACUCGCCUGCAUGAAGUCGGAAUUGCUAGUAAUCGCAGAUCAGCAUGCUGCGGUGAAUGCGUUCCCGGGCCUUGUACACACCGCCCGUCACACCAUGGGAGUCGGUAACACCCGAAGCCUGCAGUCUAACCGCAAGGAGGACGCAGUCGAAGGUGGGAUUGAUGACUGGGGUGAAGUCGUAACAAGGUACC